AUGCCUGCGGUGACGUGGAGGAAUCUUACAGGGACAAAGCCCUCACGUUGUCACUCCCAGGAGAGCAGUGCUCUGAGGAGGCAGCAGCUCUCUCACGAGGCAGCAGCUUCUCUGGAGGAAGCAGCUCUCUGGGUGCCCUUGGCCAGUGUUCGUCAGAGCACUGCCAAGAUGUCAGAUAGGCAGGAGGUGAACGCCCAAUGCAAAUCCCGUGAGGGGCAGCCGUUGCUGUCCAAGCGGCAACAGGUGCCUCAGAGGCCGCCGCAGGCAGCAGCAGAGGUCACAUGGGUGACCAUCGUGCCCCUCCACGGGGACAGACAGGUCCAGAGACAGGACACCUCAUCCCGACCCACAGGACGGGGAUCACAGGAGGAAAUCCUGGAGGGCCGGUAUUUGCUGCCCCACAGCGGCACAGUCACACAGUCACCAAGAUUGUCUGUGUCAGACUUGCCGCCUCUCCAUGGCCCUCCAUUGCCAGUGACACCUCCAUGCCGAGAGCCAAAGCCAAGAGCAGCCUCGGCAAGGGUCAAGCUGCCCCCUCUGCCAGCAGCCCCAGCAGCCUCUGGGGCUUAUCCCAGAGGCAGAGCAUGGUCCAUGGGCCCUGUGGCCAGCAGCUACCGAGAGCUUGUGCCACCUUCUCUGUGGGGCACUGUGGCUGCUCACAGGGCCCAGGGAACACCUUCGCCAGACAGCUCAGCUGAAAGGCUCUGGCGAGGGUCAGCGGCAAGGCAGGGCCCAACAGGGACCCAGCCUGCCUGGAAACACUUGGGGCACAGCAAGACGGAGGAGCUUGCUGAGGUGCAGGAAGAGCACAGUGUCAAAUCAUCCCGAGACUUGUUUAGAGGCCUUGCCCUGUGCCUGUGUAAAGACACAUCUGUUGUGUCCAGCUGCAUACAGGAGCAGUCAAGUGUCCUCCAAGAGGUGGAUCCACAGCCCCAGGUGCUGGCCAGCACACUUAGCUUGACUGAAGGCUCCAUGGGAGAGAUGGGAAACUCCUCGGACCUUCUGUCCCCUGGCCCAGUUGCAGAGCUCUUCUCUGGCUCAGACAACUUGCAGCUCAAGGACACUUUGGUAAAGGAGCCAGAGGAGAUGUGGGAAGAGGAAGAGCUCCCAGACACAGAGACUUCAGGGGAUAGGGACAGCGACCCAUGGAGCAUGACACUUCCCCCAUUGAAAGUGAAAAAGGCAGAAGCAGCAGCUUCUGGGUGCCCUUGGCCAGUGAGAGAGCCCUGGGAUGAGGGACCCAGUGAUCUUUUCCCCACCUCAGAGCCUGAGGAAACCUCACGCUUCUCAGCUUCGCCUUCAUCUGAAGGCUACGGUGAGGAGAGGGGAAUUCAUCAGUCAGCAGAGCACAGCACCCACAGCAAGCUGCUGUGCACGAAGACUGAGGAUGUUUCGAAGCACCUUCUGCAUAUCGAGGCAGAGGAGCUGGAGAAGUUGGAGGAAGACAUCCUCUCCUCCUUGGAUCAAGAAAGCUCCUCGGUGCCUCACAGCCUUUGCGGCUGGAGCAAAGACUGCGCAGGAGAGACCGAAAACUACGCACAGCUCAUGCCCCCUGACCUGUUUGCAGAGCUGUGGUCUCUCUUUAACAACAGGGACGUGCCAUCCUGGGGCACUCGUUCAGAUGACUUACUGGGAAAGUGGGAAGAAGAAGAGGUCCCUGACAGAGAUGCUGCAGGAGAGGGGGACAGUGAGCCAGAGAGUGCAUUGUGUCCCCCCCUGCAAGACAAAGAAGCAGGGCCAGCAGCUUCUCCCCUGGGCAGUGAUGCCUUUGAUGAGGGGCAUAUCCAGCUUCUCCUGAUGGCACCACCUGAAGAGGCAAAGAUGUUGGCUUGCGUCUUGCCUGCCAAUGCCAUGGAGGAGGCCAAUGCAGCAUGCAUGGAUGCUGUCUGUUCCCAGGACAGACUUGCCCAGGAAAAUGCCUGUGGGGCUGGGGAGACAGCAGAGCCUUGCCCAGUGCCUGCCCAGCCCCUGGCAUGCAGUGUUCCUUCCUCCCCCACUGACAUGACCUCUGUCCCACAGCCUCCGGCCCCACAGCGAUGGCGCUCCAUCAUCAGGACGGCCCGGCGGGCACUGAGACGGCUUUUCUCCUUCAGCUGCCUCAGGGGGCAGCGAGAGGAGUGAGCCCAGAGCCAGCACCAGGGAAAUCCCAAGAGAUGGCCGCUCACCCUCACACAGCUCCCAGGGGGAACCGCAGCUCCCAGAGGCAGCGGCACAGGGAGGCAUCCUCCUUUCCUAUGGCAAGUGGGAAAUUUCCUCCCUGGAUCCCCACAAUAUGGACUGGAGAAAAGGGCUUACCCCAGAAGAGUGAUCUGCCACCUCUGCCUCCAAAAGAGUCACUAGGACUGUUCACCAUCAGAAAGUGUGGGGUGACGAAGGACUGAUGGCUCUGGAACCAAGUUAAUGUCUGUCUUCUGCUUGAUGCCGCUAUUCCUUCCCUCUCCUACACCCAAUGUUCUUUCCCACUCUCUCUUUUUCAUUGUUCUCUUUUCUAUUCCUUUCUAUCUCUCUACUUCACAUUUAUUGUUAAGUAAAAUCACAUUUGUUGACUUUUAUAGAUGGUCUCGUUGGCACUUUAAUUUGCGCAGAGGCAUCUCUCACUAAUUGCGACUUAACAGGGACACACAUCUGCACACAGCACUUGAGGUGUGGUCUCCCCAGAGCCCAGCACAGAGGGACAGUCACUGCCCUGGCCCUGUUGGUCACACUAGUGCUGACACAGAAGGCCAGGAUGCAACUGGCCUUUUUGCCCAGCUGGGUACUUGGUGGCUCAUGUUCUUUUCUAGCCACUCUGGAACACUGUUCAUUCCCAGCCUGGCACACCACAGCGUCUUGUCAUAACCCUAGGACAGGAUCCAGAUUUUUUUUCUUAUUGAACCCCAUUCUCCUGGCCUGGCACCACUGAUCUAUCCUGUCCACAUCCUCUGCAGAGCCCUGCUACUUUCCAGCACUUCAACAUUCCCACUCACCUCGGUGCCAACUGUGAACUCACUGAGGGUGUUGUCAAUCACCUCAUCUGGAUAAAGUAUUAAUCAGGACUGGAACCAGUACUGAGACCUAAGCCCCAGUAGUGAUUGUUUGCCCUCUGGAUUUAACUCCAUUCACCACCACUCUAUGGCCCAGC
rnacentral:lncRNA from 1 species